rnacentral:rRNA from 1 species
AGGGAAUAGAUACCCUGGUAGUCCUGGCCCUAAACGAUGCGCACUAGGUAGCGGGGGAUUCCGAUUUGCCGCUGCCGGAGUAAAAAAAAACUCUUAAGUGCGCCGCCUGGGGUAGUACGGCCGCAAGGUUAAAAACCUCAAAGGAAUUGACGGGGGUCUCACACAAGCGGUGGAGGAUGUUGCUUAAUUCGAAGCGACGCGUAGAACCCUUACCAGGACUUGACAUGCUGGUGGUAGGACCCGGAAACGGGAACGACUCUCCUUACGGAGAGAGCCAGCACAGGUUGUUGCAUGGCUGUCGUCAGCUCGUGCCGUGAGGUGUCGGG